UACGUAGGUGGCAAGCGUUGUCCGGAUUUAUUGGGUUUAAAGGGUGCGUAGGCGGCUUUGUAAGUCAGUGGUGAAAUAUGGCAGCUCAACUGUCAGGGUGCCAUUGAUACUGCAGAGCUUGAGUACAGAUGAGGUAGGCGGAAUUGACGGUGUAGCGGUGAAAUGCUUAGAUAUUGGGAAGAACACCGGUGGCGAAGGCGGCCAUCUGGACCGGAACUGACGCUGAGGCGCGAAAGCCAGGGGAGCGAAUGGG
rnacentral:rRNA from 1 species